UCAAUUUUAAGAAGGUGUCUAAGGAUGUA
rnacentral:piRNA from 1 species